CAGGUUGGAACAGGAGCCCAGUCAGAAAGAAUUUGGACCUACAAUUUUACCCAGAAUAGAGUCACUGACCACAGGGUAGGAUAUGAAGUCCAAGAUAUUAAGGUUCCUGCACAGCAUCAGAUGUGUCUGACUUCUAAGGAAAAUGAGACCCCAGACACAUUGAUGGGUCAGUUCAGCAAAAACAAGAGUGGCAUUCCUGUCUGGAGAGGGUGGAGAGGAAGAGAGUCAGACACCUAUAGCACCGCGUCAUAGCCCAUGAAGCUUCUCCAGAGCAGGUGGAAGCAGUGAAUUGAACCCAGGAGCCCUUCCAUCUGGAGCAGAUGACUUCAGAGACCACAGGGCAGCUGGUCCGCAAGGCUAGGCAGUAGAGAAGGAGCCAGCAGGGGAGAGGUUCAUGCACAGCAUCAGAUGUGUCUGACUUCUAAGGAAAAUGAGACUCCAGACACAUUGAUGGGGCAUCAACAAGACUCUGGAUAGGAAAUGAGUGAGCUGCCAACUACUGAGCUGCUGCGCCGGGGACCACAAGACUCCACUUCUGUCUCCAUCAUUGUAGAGCCCUGCCAUCUGGAGCAGACCUCUGAGGAGA